GACCUCGAAUGUGACCUGAAUGACCUGCUUGUCUCUGCUUCCUAAAUGCUGGGAUUAAAGUUUCUUUGCAAGAACACAGUCUUCUCCGUUGAGGAUAAAUCACAUAUUGCAAGAAUACAGUCUUCUUCGUUGAGGAUAAAUCACAGCUGCAUAACAAAAUCUUGACAAAUGCUUUUCCAAUUGUAAGGCGCGUCCGAGUCAGCCAAAGAUGGCGCCCUGGCUGGCUGCCAAGCCUCAUGACCC